GGUGAGGUGAUAUGAACCGUUAUAACCGGCGAUUUCCGAAUGGUGAAACCCAGUGUGAUUCGUCACGCUAUCAUUAACUGAAUCCAUAGGUUAAUGAGGCGAACCGGGGGAACUGAAACAUCUAAGUACCCCGAGGAAAAGAAAUCAACCGAGAUUCCCCCAGUAGCGGCGAGCGAACGGGGAGGAGCCCAGAGCCUGAAUCAGUGUGUGUGUUAGUGGAAGCGUCUGGAAAGGCGCGCGAUACAGGGUGACAGCCCCGUACACAAAAAUGCACAUAUUGUGAGCUCGAUGAGUAGGGCGGGACACGUGGUAUCCUGUCUGAAUAUGGGGGGACCAUCCUCCAAGGCUAAAUACUCCUGACUGACCGAUAGUGAACCAGUACCGUGAGGGAAAGGCGAAAAGAACCCCGGCGAGGGGAGUGAAAAAGAACCUGAAACCGUGUACGUACAAGCAGUGGGAGCCUCUUAAUGGGGUGACUGCGUACCUUUUGUAUAAUGGGUCAGCGACUUAUAUUCUGUAGCAAGGUUAACCGAAUAGGGGAGCCGAAGGGAAACCGAGUCUUAACUGGGCGUUAAGUUGCAGGGUAUAGACCCGAAACCCGGUGAUCUAGCCAUGGGCAGGUUGAAGGUUGGGUAACACUAACUGGAGGACCGAACCGACUAAUGUUGAAAAAUUAGCGGAUGACUUGUGGCUGGGGGUGAAAGGCCAAUCAAACCGGGAGAUAGCUGGUUCUCCCCGAAAGCUAUUUAGGUAGCGCCUCGUGAAUUCAUCUCCGGGGGUAGAGCACUGUUUCGGCAAGGGGGUCAUCCCGACUUACCAACCCGAUGCAAACUGCGAAUACCGGAGAAUGUUAUCACGGGAGACACACGGCGGGUGCUAACGUCCGUCGUGAAGAGGGAAACAACCCAGACCGCCAGCUAAGGUCCCAAAGUCAUGGUUAAGUGGGAAACGAUGUGGGAAGGCCCAGACAGCCAGGAUGUUGGCUUAGAAGCAGCCAUCAUUUAAAGAAAGCGUAAUAGCUCACUGGUCGAGUCGGCCUGCGCGGAAGAUGUAACGGGGCUAAACCAUGCACCGAAGCUGCGGCAGCGACACUAUGUGUUGUUGGGUAGGGGAGCGUUCUGUAAGCCUGUGAAGGUGGCCUGUGAGGGUUGCUGGAGGUAUCAGAAGUGCGAAUGCUGACAUAAGUAACGAUAAAGCGGGUGAAAAGCCCGCUCGCCGGAAGACCAAGGGUUCCUGUCCAACGUUAAUCGGGGCAGGGUGAGUCGACCCCUAAGGCGAGGCCGAAAGGCGUAGUCGAUGGGAAACAGGUUAAUAUUCCUGUACUUGGUGUUACUGCGAAGGGGGGACGGAGAAGGCUAUGUUGGCCGGGCGACGGUUGUCCCGGUUUAAGCGUGUAGGCUGGUUUUCCAGGCAAAUCCGGAAAAUCAAGGCUGAGGCGUGAUGACGAGGCACUACGGUGCUGAAGCGACAAAUGCCCUGCUUCCAGGAAAAGCCUCUAAGCAUCAGGUAACAUCAAAUCGUACCCCAAACCGACACAGGUGGUCAGGUAGAGAAUACCAAGGCGCUUGAGAGAACUCGGGUGAAGGAACUAGGCAAAAUGGUGCCGUAACUUCGGGAGAAGGCACGCUGAUAUGUAGGUGAAGCGACUUGCUCGUGGAGCUGAAAUCAGUCGAAGAUACCAGCUGGCUGCAACUGUUUAUUAAAAACACAGCACUGUGCAAACACGAAAGUGGACGUAUACGGUGUGACGCCUGCCCGGUGCCGGAAGGUUAAUUGAUGGGGUUAGCGGUAACGCGAAGCUCUUGAUCGAAGCCCCGGUAAACGGCGGCCGUAACUAUAACGGUCCUAAGGUAGCGAAAUUCCUUGUCGGGUAAGUUCCGACCUGCACGAAUGGCGUAAUGAUGGCCAGGCUGUCUCCACCCGAGACUCAGUGAAAUUGAACUCGCUGUGAAGAUGCAGUGUACCCGCGGCAAGACGGAAAGACCCCGUGAACCUUUACUAUAGCUUGACACUGAACAUUGAGCCUUGAUGUGUAGGAUAGGUGGGAGGCUUUGAAGUGUGGACGCCAGUCUGCAUGGAGCCGACCUUGAAAUACCACCCUUUAAUGUUUGAUGUUCUAACGUGGGCCCCUUACCGGGGUUGCGGACAGUGUCUGGUGGGUAGUUUGACUGGGGCGGUCUCCUCCUAAAGAGUAACGGAGGAGCACGAAGGUUGGCUAAUCCUGGUCGGACAUCAGGAGGUUAGUGCAAUGGCAUAAGCCAGCUUGACUGCGAGCGUGACGGCGCGAGCAGGUGCGAAAGCAGGUCAUAGUGAUCCGGUGGUUCUGAAUGGAAGGGCCAUCGCUCAACGGAUAAAAGGUACUCCGGGGAUAACAGGCUGAUACCGCCCAAGAGUUCAUAUCGACGGCGGUGUUUGGCACCUCGAUGUCGGCUCAUCACAUCCUGGGGCUGAAGUAGGUCCCAAGGGUAUGGCUGUUCGCCAUUUAAAGUGGUACGCGAGCUGGGUUUAGAACGUCGUGAGACAGUUCGGUCCCUAUCUGCCGUGGGCGCUGGAGAACUGAGGGGGGCUGCUCCUAGUACGAGAGGACCGGAGUGGACGCAUCACUGGUGUUCGGGUUGUCAUGCCAAUGGCACUGCCCGGUAGCUAAAUGCGGAAGAGAUAAGUGCUGAAAGCAUCUAAGCACGAAACUUGCCCCGAGAUGAGUUCUCCCUGACUCCUUGAGAGUCCUGAAGGAACGUUGAAGACGACGACGUUGAUAGGCCGGGUGUGUAAGCGCAGCGAUGCGUUGAGCUAACCGGUACUAAUGAACCGUGAGGCUUAACCUU
rnacentral:rRNA from 1 species